GACGAACCGUGCGAACGUUGUUCGGAAUCACUGGGCUUAAAGGGCGCGUAGGCUGGCUGCCAAGUCAGGGGUGAAAUCCUCCAGCUUAACUGGAGAACGGCCUCUGAUACUGGCGGCCUCGAGGGGGGUAGGGGCGUGUGGAACUCUAGGUGGAGCGGUGAAAUGCGUUGAUAUCUAGAGGAACUCCGGUGGCGAAGGCGACACGCUGGACCCUUUCUGACGCUGAGGCGCGAAAGCCAGGGGAGCGAACGGG
rnacentral:rRNA from 1 species